UGCAGUCGAGCGGAGUGAUGGUGCUUGCACUAUCACUUAGCGGCGGACGGGUGAGUAAUGCUUAGGAAUCUGCCUAUUAGUGGGGGACAACAUUUCGAAAGGAAUGCUAAUACCGCAUACGUCCUACGGGAGAAAGCAGGGGAUCUUCGGACCUUGCGCUAAUAGAUGAGCCUAAGUCGGAUUAGCUAGUUGGUGGGGUAAAGGCCUACCAAGGCGACGAUCUGUAGCGGGUCUGAGAGGAUGAUCCGCCACACUGGGACUGAGACACGGCCCAGACUCCUACGGGAGGCAGCAGUGGGGAAUAUUGGACAAUGGGCGCAAGCCUGAUCCAGCCAUGCCGCGUGUGUGAAGAAGGCCUUAUGGUUGUAAAGCACUUUAAGCGAGGAGGAGGCUACUGAAGUUAAUACCUUCAGAUAGUGGACGUUACUCGCAGAAUAAGCACCGGCUAACUCUGUGCCAGCAGCCGCGGUAAUACAGAGGGUGCAAGCGUUAAUCGGAUUUACUGGGCGUAAAGCGCGCGUAGGCGGCUAAUUAAGUCAAAUGUGAAAUCCCCGAGCUUAACUUGGGAAUUGCAUUCGAUACUGGUUAGCUAGAGUGUGGGAGAGGAUGGUAGAAUUCCAGGUGUAGCGGUGAAAUGCGUAGAGAUCUGGAGGAAUACCGAUGGCGAAGGCAGCCAUCUGGCCUAACACUGACGCUGAGGUGCGAAAGCAUGGGGAGCAAACAGGAUUAGAUACCCUGGUAGUCCAUGCCGUAAACGAUGUCUACUAGCCGUUGGGGCCUUUGAGGCUUUAGUGGCGCAGCUAACGCGAUAAGUAGACCGCCUGGGGAGUACGGUCGCAAGACUAAAACUCAAAUGAAUUGACGGGGGCCCGCACAAGCGGUGGAGCAUGUGGUUUAAUUCGAUGCAACGCGAAGAACCUUACCUGGCCU
rnacentral:rRNA from 1 species